AUUCGGAGACAGCCGGAGCCCACGAAGUUGAGCGCGCAGGGUAGGUGACGCAGAUCCUUGCGGGCGGCGGGCAGAGUAGAACGUGUGUCAUUGCGAGUGUUUGCGUGCGUUCCAGUAAUCAAGUCUUCGCUGUCUCCCUCAUCGUGGUCUGCGCAUCAAUUUGGUAAGUACCAUGCACAGCUCAUCGCGGGACAGCGUGGGACAGCGCUGGAGCACCUCGUCGAACCAGGUAAGGAGAGUUGUGUUCCUAGGGCGUUAGGGCGAUAGGCUGUUAGGCUGCUAACUCUUUGCCUUUCAGGUACCUCACACUCAUGGUUUCUGUAGAUUAUUCCACAGCAUUACCGUUAGUAGCAGACCACAGCGGCGGUGGAAUGAAGAAACAAGGGCAGUGAAGAGGCGUGAUGGAGUGGAGAGACCGCUAAGGAGGGCAGCUUGUAUUUGACGCUGUGAAGGAGUUGUACUGAAGGUGACAAGAUUGCGAGGAAGAACUGAUGCUCUGUACACAAGUAAUGAUGGCCUAAGCAGCUACUUCUGACUACGAGGAAAAAUCAAGAUGCCGAUGUUCAGAUGAAAGCUGCCACACGAGGAAGGAAGCCACGGAUAAAGGUGAGACAAGAACCUUACAGGUGCCAAAAUCGUAUACCUUCCCCUGCAGGUGCUAACUAACCAACCUUUUCUUGCAGGUACUAACCAACCAACCUUCCCUUACGGGUGCUAACCAACCAACCUUCCCCUACAGGUGCUAACCAACCAACCUUCCCCUA